UACGAGGGGGGCGAGCGUUGUUCGGAAUUAUUGGGCGUAAAGCGUGCGCAGGCGGCUUCUCAAGUCAGGGGUGAAAGCCCAGAGCUCAACUCUGGAAUUGCCUUUGAGACUGAGUGGCUUGAGUACGAGAGAGGUGAGUGGAAUUCCCAGUGUAGAGGUGAAAUUCGUAGAUAUUCGCAAGAACACCAGUGGCGAAGGCGGCUCACUGGCCCGAUACUGACGCUGAGGUGCGAAAGCGUGGGGAGCAAACAGG
rnacentral:rRNA from 1 species